rnacentral:rRNA from 1 species
CGCUCGACACCUAGGGCAGCAGUGGGGAAUAUUGCACAAUGGGGGAAACCCUGAUGCAGCGACGCCGCGUGAGUGAAGAAGUAUUUCGGUAUGUAAAGCUCUAUCAGCAGGGAAGAAGAUGACGGUACCUGAGUAAGAAGCCCCGGCUAACUACGUGCCAGUAGCCGCGGUAAUCUGAGCGGGCUGGCAAGGC